GACGAACCGUGCGAACGUUGUUCGGAUUCACUGGGCUUAAAGGGCGCGUAGGCGGUCGACCAAGUCUGGGGUGAAAUCUUUCGGCUCAACCGGAAAAGUGCCCCCGAUACUGGCCGGCUAGAGGGAGAUAGGGGCAUGUGGAACUUCCGGUGGAGCGGUGAAAUGCGUAGAUAUCGGAAGGAACACCGGUGGCGAAAGCGGCGCGCUGGAUCCCUACUGACGCUGAGGCACGAAAGCCAGGGGAGCAA
rnacentral:rRNA from 1 species